AAAAAAUUUUCAUUUUUGUAGAAAAAAAGCCGGGGAAACUAUAUAUGUUUCAAAAAUGUACCUGAAAAAUUUCAAGUCUAAAUAUCAAACAUGUCGGAAGUCAUGGGCCGUUGAAUGGAGCGGUGUCAAACUGACUAGGCAUUUUUUCUACGGCGGACAGAUCUUUCACCAGCGGGAAAAGUCGCUGCCGACCACCCGCCAUUGAUCAGUGCCCCCCUUCCCUCCUUUUUAUGUAACGACCCAAAAAAUUUUGUAGU